UCUCCACAUCCCCUCGACUAUAAAUAUCUAUGAUAUCCUCUUCUUUUCUGGCAUCGUUUGCUUUCCUUAUACAAGAGGUUUCAUCAACACCUUCCCGAAAUCGUGAUUUAGAGUUCGUCAAUAUUUUUCCCGACCAAGGAAUCUUACACUCUCUGCAAGGAGGAGAAAGCUAAGAAAUUCAAGGGCAAGAUCGUCAAGCCUCAUGCCAUGUUCUUCUUUCUUCCAAUUGUCUUAGCUCCUUGAUUACCGAUCUAGAGUUGGGUAGAUCUCUCUUUCUUGAUUUUUUUUUUUUGUUAUAGUUAUAUGACGUUGAUGUGUUUGUUUAACAGAUAAUUCUUGAUUUAUAUUACUCCUUGAUUUUUUUGCCGAGCUGAUUAUGAUGAACUCAAGGACUCAUACUGAAAGGAGACGCGGAUACAUACAAUCCCUUAUCGAAACUCUAUACUGCUUAUACUGUCAGACUGUUUUGCAAUUGACAUGAUUCAAUUAUUCAAAAGGUUUGCACUGCUGCUCGAUGCUCAGAAGUCAGAACAAAUGGAAUUGCAUACGAGUUUAUUAGGUACAAAUUAAUUAAAGAGGUUGGUGAUGGAACAUUGGUCCUGUUUUGCUUAGCUACCAAUAAGCACACAUGUGAAGUUGUUGCAAUUACAAAAUGAAAAAGAACUACUACUCAUGGGACAAAUGUAUUAACCUGAGAUAAGUGAAGUCAAUGAUUCCUGGAGAAAUUUUUGUGAUGGCAAGAUUGAUAUAAGACUGAUCCAGAGAAUGAUUGUUCAUGUUGAAGAAAUAAAAACGGCUGAGGAAAAAGAUGCUGAAGGAAGAGAGCAAACAAAAUAUUGAAACAAAACUUAAUUAGAAACAUGGAAGAGAAGAGAAUAAGAGAAGAUAAACGACCGGCGGCGAUUUUAAAUCUCUGGUUUCGUUCGGUGGCCGGUCUAACGAUGUCACGCAAAUGAGAAAAUGGAGAUUGUGUUCUGCAUCUUUGGCUGUGUUUAGUAUGAGGAUUCAAGAAGAAGAAUGGUGAAGGAGUGGAAGAAAAGCUGACAUGACCAUAGUGUUUCUUCCGACGAUGACACCAUGUCUUCUCAAGAUCCUAAACCCAAGAAGAUCGACCAACUCUGGCCAGAAAUAAUGUUUACCUUUUCUUUGAACUUUAAUGAAAAAUUUCCUUACA